GGGAGGGUGGUAAUUUAUUUAGUUGCUGUCUCACAUCUUUAUGAAAUGAUGUGACGAAGUUGCAACAGGAGCUAAUGAAAGUACAAUGUCGAUCUCAGCACACAGUAUUCCAAUUCUGAUGCAUGAUAGUUGAAUCAGCAACCACAUAAUCCUGAAAAGUUUAAUGUCGUUGCUAAAAGAAAUUCAACACAAUGAACUAAUGGAGACAAAACUUACAGAAGUUCAUAGACUCAAUUACAAUAAGUCGAUGUUUUAUAACCUAAGGACAUGUUUGAUUGUGUAAAAGAGGUUGAAGCGAAAAAAAUUAUUUCUAUAAAAGUGAUUUUUACGAAAGUAAUUUUUGUAUUUGAUUAUUUUGUUUGCUAUAAAGUGAAAAAUAGAAAAUUACAUUUUUGUGGAUUCGAUUGUUUGAUUAUUUGAUUAUAUAUAAUUUGAAUUCAUGAUUUGAAUCUAAUUUUGAUGUACUAUUUGAUCUUAAGUUUUGAAUUCAAAUGAAUUUAUAAUUUGAAUUAAAAUUUAAAUUUGAGUUUAAAUCAUAAUUCAAAUUGAAUAUUUGUGAUAUCCCUGGAGUACAGCAGUGGAGGCUUGUCGACACGUCGUGAGAGUGUCGGGACAAGUCCGAGUCGCGUUUGGCGCGAAAUUGACGCAAAACGGAUUCAGUGGGGACGCGAGAGCAGGAGUCAGCAUUGGAAUCUGCAAAUUGCAAAUUUUCUGCUUAUUGUACUGGUAUAACAUCAGAGGUGUAUCGGUAUACUUUCUGUACCGGUACAAUAUCGGAUGUGUACCGGUACACUUCACCUGUUUCCGCGCAGCUGCUCUCGGGUUGCCAUUUGUACCGGUACAACCACCCAUGUACCGGUACACCAGGGUAGGUGAGAGGGUAUUUUGGUCUUUCCAUGUCUCGUACGUGUCACCCUCCUUCCCCACUGCUAUAUACAUGUGUUGAGAGGCUGAGAGAGAGAGUUUUGCUUGUUUCUUCCCCUCUCUCUCUCUAGACUCGGCCGUGCGUGGUGGAGUUGCUGUUGGAGCUCGGAUCGACGCCGAUGUCGCGCCGGGGAGCCGUUCGAGCGUGUGUUCGUCGUGGUAGCGUCGUCGGGAGGCCGGGUGAGAGUGUGGUUUCGCUGUUUUCGACUUCCCGCCGGGUUGGGAGUAGCUUUUGAGAGCUUUCUGUUCCGGCUGCUGCAUCUUCCGAGACCGAUCGUGGCAAGGGCGUUGCGAGCUAGAGCCCUUCCAGACGAUGGAGUACCUUCCGCAGGUAGUUGUAUUUUGGUUUGAGUUCAUGUACAUAUAGAUGUUUAACUCGCCAGUGCGAGUAGUUUUGUACCCUCGAUGUUAUGUAUGUCUAUGGAACUUGGUUUUCUUUCAGUUCUUUUUUUUUU